CAGCCUACGGGACGCAGCAGUAGGGAAUUUUCGUCAAUGGGCGCAAGCCUGAACGAGCGAUGCCGCGUGAGUGAAGAAGGCCUUCGGGUCGUAAAGCUCUGUUGCGGGGGAAAAAAGGCAGCAUCAGGAAAUGGGUGCUGACUGAUGGUGCCCCGCCAGAAAGUCACGGCUAACUACGUGCCAGCAGCCGCGGUAAUACGUAGGUGGCGAGCGUUAUCCGGAAUGAUUGGGCGUAAAGGGAGCGCAGGCGGGCCUGCAAGGCUGGAGUGAAGCGCAUGAG
rnacentral:rRNA from 1 species